AUGAUGAUUGAUCUGAAUGAACCACCGCUUGACAUAGAGUCCAUCAACAUUUCAGUCGAGUUGGGUGCACCCUUCUUGCAUGCAGGGGGUGAACAGGGACAUCAACAACUAGAGGAGGAGGUUGGUGAGUCUCCUGACCCCAAUAUUGGAUCUAACACUGCUCAUGUCCCGGACAAACGUGUUGCCACUCCCCCACCUAUGGUUGCUCCUGCUAAUGCUUUAGUUCAUGAGACACGUGAGUUGGAAGAUGAAGAAGCUGGAUCACAGCCACAACAACCUUAUGUUGGCAUGCGCUUCGACACAUUAGAGGAUGCGAGGGAACACUACAAUCGCUAUGCUUUGAUGGAGGGCUUUUCAAUCAAGUCAAAUACGUCUUACAGGUCGUCCUACACAAGUGUGUUGGAAAAACAGCAAUUCUGCUGUAACAAGUUCCGCAAACCAGUAGAGAGAGUUGGGAUCCUAGAUGUUCCCUUGUCGAGCAAAAACACUACAUGUCCAAGCUCAUCUGAACAAGAUGUUGAAGAUGAUGUCGAGGAACACACUUUCAAGAAGAAGAGGAAACGGGAAACUGUGAAGCGAACAAAAUGUCGUGCUAAGAUGGUGGUGAAGCUUAAAGAUGACAGAUGGGAGGUUAUCACUUUUAUUGCAGAUCAUAACCAUCCACUGAUUGAGAAGCCAUCACUUUCGAAAUACCUCCGUUCUCACCAAGGAAUCCCGCCGGAACAGAAAAAACUACUGACUCACCUAAAUGACUGCAACUUGACAGCAGGAAAAAUGAUGAUGUUAAUGUCAUCAUACUACGGCUCGGAGUUGAUUGUUCCGUACACAGCUAAAGCUAUCCAUAACAACUGUUCGAAGCUCAACGCCCCAACUAAAGACAUUGACAUUGAAGAAACACUAAACUACUUUUGCAAGGUGAUGGAAAAUGACCCAGGAUUUUUCUUUAAAUGCAAGACAGAUGCGGAAGGCAGGACAGAAAACUUGUUUUGGGUGGAUGGUGCGGCACGGAAAGCAUACGCGGAGGCUUAUCAUGAUUGCGUGUCAUUUGAUGCAACUUACCUCACGAACAUGUACAAUAUGCCGUUUGCCCCCUUCAUUGGAAUCAACAGACAUGGGCAGUCAAUAAUGCUCGGGUGUGGAUUUGUCUGGCAGGAACUAGCCUCAAGUUAUGACUGGUUAUUUGAUGCUUUCCUAGAAGCAAUGGAUGGUUUGGCUCCGGACAACAUCAUCACGGACCAAGAUGUUGCUAUGGCACAAUCUAUCAAGAGGAAGUUCCCGGCAACGAUUCACCGUUGCUGCCGUUGGCAUAUAAUGAAGAAAGCACAAGAGAAGCUUGGCCCCGUGUUGGCUAGGAACCCGGAUUUGGUAAAAGACUUCAAUGAAUGCAUUGACUUCAGUUUCACCCCGGCUGAGUUUGAAAGGAAAUGGGCUGCACUUCAAUUGAAAUAUGAAGGUCUUAUGCAUGGUCACUUUGAGAAACUGUAUGAGGAUCGGGCUACAUGGGUGCCGUGUUACUUCAAAUUCAGGUUCUUCCCUUUCCUUCAGUCAACGCAACGCAGCGAAGGGUUCAAUGCUGUGUUGAAGCGCUAUGUGAACCCACACAAGUCAAUUCUCAACUUCGUCAAGCAAUAUGAGAAAAUUCAGGUACACAUACUCGUGAGGGAGGGCGGGAACGACUACCGGACAGAACAUCUAGAGGCACAAAGAUGGUCGCGUUUCCCCAUUGAGAGGCAUGCCUACAAAGCAUACACUAGGGACAUCUAUGUGAAGUUUAGAACUGAGUUUCAGAUGAUUGGCCAGUACGAUGUGCGCCCCGCUGGAAUCAACUUCUAUUACCUUGAGCCCAAUACAGAAGAAGUCCUAGGGUAUGGCUCGAGGAAGUACCUAGUCACAGUGAGACCAGAGCCAGCUAUCUACGAUUGA
rnacentral:rRNA from 1 species